GCCGGGCGUAGUGGCGGGCGCCUGUAAUCCCAGCUACUUGGGAGGCUGAGGCAGGAGAAUCGCUUGAACCCAGGAGGUGGAGGUUGCAGUGAGCCGAGAUCACACCACUGCACUCCAGCCUGGGCGACAACGCGAGACUCUGUCUCAA
rnacentral:SRP_RNA from 1 species